UAGUUCGGAUUGUAGGCUGCAACUCGCCUACAUGAAGUUGGAAUCGCUAGUAAUCGCGAAUCAGAAUGUCGCGGUGAAUACGUUCCCGGGUCUUGUACACACCGCCCGUCACACCACGAGAGUUUACAACACCCGAAGUCAGUGGCCUAACCGCAAGGAGGGAGCUGCCUAAGGUGGGGUAGAUGAUUGGGGUGAAGUCGUAACAAGGUAAC
rnacentral:rRNA from 1 species